rnacentral:lncRNA from 1 species
AAAAAGUAGUCAACAAUAGGCCAAGACUUGUGGUGUUUUCUUACAGAAGUCUGCUCACACACCAGUUGACCAGGGUCUUAAAAGAAUCCUUAUCUACUUCGACCAGAGAAAUUCCAACCCAAGGGAACUUGGAAUUUAUGGAUUUUGAAGGCAACAAGACCUAAGAGUCUGGCUUAUCAACAUAAUGUGCCCAGCAUCACCCACAUGGAGGCUUUAGUUAUAAUCCUCGUGCACUGGUUUGGACCCUGGAAUUCGUUUGAAGAGAUGUAGAUCAUCAGCUGAGUGCCAUGUGCCAACCGUGAGACCCAGACUGAUGUUGGACAUGUUUGUAGUUUUGGGGAAGUUCAGACCCUCACUACAUUUUUCUUCGUGCCAUCCUGAAACCAUCUGUCUGUUUUUCGUUUCAUGGCGUCUUCUACCUUCAGUGGCCAGCUCUUGCCAGGAAUGGAUUUUUCUGAAGUAUCAAGAGGUCACAAAUAACAAGCAAUCCUGGGCUGAUGCUAUCGGAGGGUGUUUUGCACAUGCAGAUGCUGCUUGUCGGCAGGAGUGUUUGACUAGACAAGAACAUCUGGAAAGGGCCAGAGAGAACACAUCAUGUCAUCCCUGUCAUCCUUGUCAAGGCUGUCUCUUGCGCGCGCCGGACUGGCCAGCAGUAACGACGCUGCAACAGGAUCCUUCUGCACACGUUUAUUGGGAGAGCUUGAUUGCAGAGGCGAAGAGACCCCGAGCCCAGAACUGGUGCUGCUUAUAUAGGCCUAGGAGAGGCGUGUCUCACACCCGGAUUGGUUAUGCACUACGCCUCAUUUGCAUGUUCCUCAUCUGAUUGGUUAUUCUCUCUCUCUGUACCUCACAGAGCCUCAUUAUCAUACCUCAUUUGCAUGUCUCACAUCUGAUUGGUUAUACUCUCAAAGCCUCAUUAUCAUGCCCGGGCCAGGCAGUGUCUUUGCAAAACACUUUACUGCAUAUGUACACAUUGGUUGUUUGUCCAAACUUAUGCGUGGUGGCCAGCAGUAGUCAGUGCCACUCUGCAACGGCACAUGUGGCUUCCCACAGCUGUCAUCCCUCAUGUGGUCCUCCUCCUUGGCUGGUACAGGCAUGAGAUCUUGAUGUUCAGGAUGGUGAGGGAGAACUGCUUUCUCCUGACCUCAAUCUUUCCAGACUCUUAUGUAAGGGUUUGGCUUCAAUGCAGAGUGAAAAGAUGGUUCUGUGCUGUUCUAGCUAGUGCAUAGUGUCUCUAAAUAAACAUGCUAAAUGAUCAGGAAAAAAAAAAAAAAAAAA